rnacentral:rRNA from 1 species
UACGGAGGGUGCGAGCGUUGUCCGGAAUCACUGGGCGUAAAGGGCGCGUAGGUGGCGCGGGCAGUCAACGGUGAAAGUUCGGGGCUCAACCCUGAAUCGGCCGUCGAUACUCCCGGGCUUGAGCACUGUAGAGGCAGAUGGAAUUCCGGGUGUAGCGGUGGAAUGCGUAGAGAUCCGGAAGAACACCGGUGGCUAAGGCGGCUCUCUAGUACGGUACUGACGCUGAGACGCGAAAGCGUGGGGAGCGAACAGG